rnacentral:rRNA from 1 species
GCAUAUUCUGUGCGCAGGAAAGGCAGGGGAGUCGCAAGACCUUGCGCUGAUUGAGCGGCCGAUAUCAGAUUAGCUAGUUGGUGAGGUAAAGGCUCACCAAGGCGACGAUCUGUAGCGGGUCUGAGAGGAUGAUCCGCCACACUGGAACUGAGACACGGUCCAGACUCCUACGGGAGGCAGCAGUGGGGAAUUUUGGACAAUGGGGGCAACCCUGAUCCAGCCAUGCCGCGUGAGUGAAGAAGGCCUUCGGGUUGUAAAGCUCUUUCGGCCGGGAAGAAAUCGUAUCAGCUAAUACCUGGUGCGGAUGACGGUACCGGCAUAAGAAGCACCGGCUAACUACGUGCCAGCAGCCGCGGUAAUACGUAGGGUGCGAGCGUUAAUCGGAAUUACUGGGCGUAAAGCGUGCGCAGGCGGUUUUGUAAGACAGGCGUGAAAUCCCCCGGGCUCAACCUGGGGAACUGCGUUUGUGACUGCAAGGCUAGAGUACGUAGAGGGGG